CGUAGGUGGCAAGCGUUGUCCGGAAUUACUGGGCGUAAAGAGCGCGUAGGCGGGAAUUUAAGUCAGGAGUGAAAACUGGCGGCUCAACCGCCAGCCUGCUCUUGAAACUGGAUUUCUUGAGGGUAUGAGAGGAAAGCGGAAUUCCCAGUGUAGCGGUGAAAAUGCGUAGAUAUUGGGAGGAACACCAGUGGCGAAGGCGGCUUUCUGGCAUACAACUGACGCUGAGGCGCGAAAGCGUGGGGAGCAAACGGGAUUAGAUACCCCGGUAGUCCACGCCGUAAACGAUGGGCACUAGGUGUAGGAGGUAUCGACCCCUUCUGUGCCGUAGUUAACACAAUAAGUGCCCCGCCUGGGGAGUACGGCCGCAAGGUUG
rnacentral:rRNA from 1 species